rnacentral:rRNA from 1 species
GACGGAGGGUGCAAGCGUUGCUCGGAAUGAUUGGGCAUAAAGAGUAGGUAGGUGGUUUGAUAAGUCUGUGGUGAAAGCCUUCAGCUCACCUGAAGAAGUGCCAUAGAAACGAUCAGACUAGAGUCCUAGAGAGGGUCGUGGAAUUCCCGGUGUAGCGGUGAAAUGCGUAGAGAUCGGGAGGAACACCAGAGGCGAAGGCGACGACCUGGAGAGGAACUGACACUCAACUACGAAAGCGUGGGGAGCAAACAGG